CUUUCCUAUCUUGCUCUGUCACCCAGGCUGGAGUGCAGUGGCAUGAUUUCAGCUCACUGCAACCUCUGCCUCCCGGGUUCAAGCGAAUCUCCUGCUUCUGCCUCCCAAGUAGCUGGGUAUACAGGCGUGUAUGCCCAAUACUUUUUGUAUUUUUAGUAGAGACAGGGUUCCACCAUGUUGGCUAGGCUGGCCUCAAACUCCUGACCUCAGGUGAUCCUUGGCCUUCCAAAGUGCUGGGUUUACAGGUGUGAGCCACCAUGCCUGGCCUUAUCACUCUCUCCUGGCUUCUUCCUACUACAUAUGACCCACCACUCACUACUUUGAAAUUGUCCUAGUCAAAAUCUCAGGACACCUUCCAGAACUGGCAGUUGACCAGGAAGUGAAUCUGGGUGUCACCUUGAGUCCUACCCUCACUUACCCCUCCCUGCAGCUUGUGAGCAGAUCCUGUCAGCGCCAGACCUGAGCACUUUCACAUCUGCCCGCUGCCCUCCUUCUACCUGGCCUCCAACCCAGUUUCACUACCUGGCCUCCCAGAUUCUGGACUCCAACAACAGCAAGAGGGAGUCUUUUUAAAACGCAGUUCUGCUCAGUUUCACUUCCACAUAGGAUGAAGUGAGAAGGUUUCACUCUGCAGCUAGAAAACAUGUACAGAACUGGGCGUCAUGGCUCAUGCCUGUAAUCUCAGCACUUUGGAAGUUCAAGGUGGGCAGAUCACUUGAGGCCAGGAGUUUGAGACUAGCCUGGCCAACAUGGUGAAACUUUGUCUCCACUAAAAAUACAAAAAUUAGCUAGAUGUGGUGGCUUACACCUGUAAUCCCAGCACUUUGGGAGGUUGAGGCAGGUGGAUCAUGAGGUCAGGAGAUCGAGACCAACCUGGCCAACAUGGUGAAACUCCGUCUCUUAAAAAAAAAAUUAAAAUUAAAUUAAAUGAAAAAUGUGGACAGAAUGCACAGAGCAACUAUUUGAGCACCCUGAAAAUUAAGUAGCCACAAGUAGGUUGGAGAAAACCAGAUUCUGAGGUAACACCAAACGGGUGGCGAGUUUACAAUGUUUUCCCUCCAGUAUCUUCUGGAGUGAACUCGGGGGAGACCCAGAAGUGAGCAGACAGAGAAAAUACCUGGAGAAGCCCUCUAGUUCAGGCUCAAGAAGGAAGGGGUCUCCUGGCAAUGACAGCAGUGGUGACAAGGGGCCUGCAGGUGCCAAAACCUCAGAGGAAUUCAUCCAUGCCAGUAGGAAGAGCUCUGGUCCCCAGAGGUGAGGGAACCCCUGUUGCAUUUGUCUCUCACUCUUCCCACUCCUUAGCCCACGAUACAGGUGCAGUGGUGGGAAGUAGACAGCCAGAGGACUGAAACAGAGAGCCCAAGGGAGCCAGAACAAACCAGAUCUCAGAGAGAGGACCUUGGGAGAGUGACCCCAUUACGUCAUUUUCAUGAAUUCCUGGCUUCAUGUCCACGCUGCACAUGGAUGGAUCUGAUCCUAAACAACAUACAAAAGAUUUUGAGACCUGAACUUAAAGCUACGUGGAUAUCCAUGUCCCUGUGGCACUGGAUGGCACACAUGUGGGACAGAUCCAUAUCGUAAGGCAAAGGGCCAGGUGCGGUGUAACCUGGCACUUUGGAAGGUUAAGGUGGGUGGAUCGCUUGAGGUCAGGAGUUCGAGACCAGCCUGACCAACAUGGUAAAACCUCAUCUCUACUAAAAUACAGAAGAAUUAGCCAGGCAUGGUGGUGCGCACCUGUAAUCCCGGCUACUCAGGGGCCUUAGACAGGAGAAUCACUUGAACCUGGGAGGCAGAGCUUGCAGUGAGCCAAGAUCGCACCACUGCACUCCAGCCAGGGUGAUAGAGCAAGACUCUGUCUCAAAAACAAAAACAAAUAGUACUGCAAAGGCUUUGAAAAUGGAACUAACAGUGAAACCACCAUCCAGAGAAGGCUGGUCACUAUGUGUGGCCUUAACCCAACUUAGCUGAUAGACUGCUAAAUUGAAAAUAUGAAAUUGCCAACAUCAGGAAUGAAAUAAUCAAUAGCACAAACAAACAUAAAAGGAUAACUAUAAAAACAUAAAAUAGAUAAAUGAUACAUAAAAUGCUACAGACAACUCUGCUGACAAAUCUGACAAUUUGGAUGAAAUGAACCAAUUCCUCAGAAGUCAAAUUCUAAAACUUACCCAAGAUCAAAUCCAUAACCUGAAUAAUCCUAUAAAUAAAACUAUUUAAAUAAAUCCUAUAAUAAAACUAUUAAAUAUAUUAGUUUGAAAGACUUCAAAAAAAAGUCUUGAGGCCUACAUGAUUUCACAAGUAAAUUUUAUCACAUAUUUGAAAAAAGAAUAACACUAUUUCCACAAAAUCUCUUCCAGAAAACAGAAAAGUAGUAAUUUUUUUUCUUUUUCUUUUUUUUGAGAUGGAGUCUCACUCUGUCACCCAGGCUGGAGUAUAGUGGCAAGAUAUUGGCUCACUGCAACCUCCACUUCCUGGGUUCAAGCAAUCUCCUGCCUUAGCAUCCCAAGUAGCUGGGAUUACAGGCACCUGCUACCACGCCCAACUUUUUUUUUUUUUUUUUUUUUUUUUUUGUAUUUUUAGUAGAGACAGGGUUUCACUAUGUUGGCCAGGCUAGCCUCAAACUCCUGACCUCAGGUGAUCCUCUUGCCUUGGGCCCCUAAAGUGCUGGAAUUACAGGCGUGCACCUGGCCUUUUUUUUUUUUUUUUUUUUUUAAGAGACGGAGUCUUGUACUGUUGCCCAGGCUAGAGUGCAAUGGCAUUAUCUCAGCUCACUGCAAACUCCACCUCCCAGGUUCAAGUGAUUCUCCUGCCUCAGCCUCCCGAGUAGCUGGGAUUACAGGUGCACACUGCCACACCUGGCUAAUUUUUUUUUUUUUUUUUUUGUAUUUUUAGUAGAGACAGGUUUUCACUACAUUGGCCAGGCUGACCUCGAACUCCUGAGCUUAUGAUCCGCCCGCCUUGGCCUCCCAAAGUGCUAGGAUUAUAGGCACAAGCCACCAGGCCUGGCCAGCAGGAGUGAGUAAUUUCUUUUAUUUUUUUUUUCUUUCUUUUUUUGAGAUGGAGUUUUGUUCUUGUUGCCCAGGCAGGAGUGCAAUGGCAUGAUGUUGGCACACUACAACCUCUGUCUCCUGUUAAACCCAGGAUUCUCCUGACUCAGCCUCCUGGGUAGCUGGGAUUACAGGCAUAUGCCACCAUGCCCGGCUAAUUUUGUAUAUUUAGUAGAGGUCAGCUUUCUCCAUGUUGGUCAGGCUGGUCUCAAAUUCCUGACUUCAGGUGAUUCAGCCGCCUCAGGCUUCCAAAGUGCUAGGAUUACCGGCGUGAGCCACCACGCCCAGCCUAGAAGCGAGUAAUUUCUAAUUUAUGAGGACAGCAUACCCUGAUACUAAACUGAACAAAGAUAGUACAAGAAAAGAAAACUUCGGACUGAUAUUUCUCAUGAGCAUAGAUGAAAACAUCUUCAACAAAGUGUUAACAAUUUGAACCCGGCAGUACAACAGAGUAAUACACCAUGAUCAAGUGGAUUUCAUGCUAGGAGUGCAAGGUAGAUUCCAUAUUUGAAAAUCAGUAAAUGGGGCUGGGCACAGUGGCUCACACCUGUAAUCCCAGCACUUUGAGAGGCCAAGACAGGCAGAUCACUUGAGGUCAGGAGUUCAAGAGCAGCUUGGCCAACAUGGUAAAACCCUGUCUCUACUAAAAAUCGAAAAAAAUUAGCUGGGCGUGGUGGUGCACGCCUGUAGUCCCAGCUACUUGGGAGGCUGAGGCAGGAGAAUUGCUUGAACGCAGGAGGCAGAGGUUGCAGUGAGCCAAGACUGCGCCACUGCACUCCAGCCUGGUGCCUGGCAACAGAGCAAGACUUUGUCUCAAAAAAAAAAUUAGCCAGGCAUGGUGGUGCACGCUGUAGUCCCAGCUACUUGGGAGGCUGAGUCAGGAGAACUGCUUGAACCUUGUGGGGGCAGAGGUUGCAGUGAGUCGAGAUUGCACCACUGCACUCCAGCCUAAGCAACAGAGCAAGACUGUCUCAAAAAAAGAAAGAAAAUCAAUAGAUGGAAUCACAUAUUAACAAUCUAAGAAAAACUUAUUAUAAUAUCAAUUGAUACAGAAAAAGGCAUUUGACAAAAUUUAACAUCAUUCAUGGAAAAAAAAAUAAAACUCUCAGCAAACUAGGAAGUUCCUCCACCUGAUUAAGGGCAUCUUCAAGAAACUGACAUCCUAUGUAGUGCUAGAAGACUAAACGCUUUGCUUUCCCCCUAGGAUCAGUAAAGUCAAGGAUGUCCAUGUUUCUCACUCAUAUUAUUCUUUAUGCUGGAAGUCCUGGCCAGUAUUAUAAAGCAAGAAAAAAGAAGUCAAAGGCACUCAGAUUGGGAAGAAAGAAACAAAGCUAUCCUGUUUGCAAGUGACAUGAUGGCUGUAUAGAAAAAUCCCAAGAAAUCUACACAAAUAUAAGCAAUGUCAGUACAUAAAGGCCAAUCAUAUUUCUGUAUACUAGCACAGAAAUAUUUAUAUAAAAAUUAACUCAGGCUGGGUGUGAUGGCUCACAUCCGUAAUCCCAGCACUUCGAGAGGCUGAGGUGGGCAGAUCUCCUGUGGAUAGGAGUUGAAGACCAACCUGGCCAACAUGGUGAAACCCCAUCUUUACUAAAAAUACAGGCGCAUGCCCAUAAUUCCAGGCCAAGACAGGAGAAUCGCUUGAACCUGGAGGCGGAUGUUGCAGUGAGCCAAGAUCACACUAUUGCACUCCAGCCUGGGCAACAGAGCGAGACUCCAUCUCAAAAAAACAAAAAAAGAGAAAAAAUUAACUCUAAAUGUAAAUCAUGCAACUCUCAUACUUCUACCUAUAAUCCUGGCAGAUUGGGAGGCUGAGAGGGUGGAUCACUUGAGCCUAGGAGUUUGAUUCCAGCCUGGAUAAUAUGGCGGAUUUUAAAACAUCAUUUACAAUGACCCCAUGAAAUAUUUAGAUAUAAUUACAACAAAACAAAUAUAGUAUCUGUAUAAAUAGCAUUAAAUACAUAGAAGACCAAAAUAAAUGGAGAGACAUACAAUGCUCAUGGGUCAGAAGAUUCAAGAGAAUGAAGACGUCAGUUCUCCUUUGACUGAUCAGUAGCUUUAAUGCAAUUUCAAUAAAAAUCCCAGCUGGACAUUUUCUCAGUAUAGACAAGCUUAUUAUAAAUUUAAAUGAAAAUAUAAAGAAAUUCAAAUAGCUAAAGCAACUUUGAAAAAGAAGAACAAACUUGGAGCGAUUACCCAAUUUUAAGACUUAUCAUAAGGAAACAACAGUGUGAUGCAGGCAAACGCUAUAUAGAUUAAUUAGAUAGACACAUGCAAUAACGGAACAGAAUAGAGAGUCCAAAAAUGGGCCCACACAAAUAUAGUCAGAUGACUUUUGACAGAGGUGCAGAAACAAUUUAAUUGAUAAAAGAUAGUCUUUUCUUUUUUUUUUUUGAAAUGGAGUUUCGCUGUUGUUACCCAGGCUGGAGGGCAAUGGCACGAUCUCGGCUCACCACAACCUCCGCCUCCUGGGUUCAAGCAAUUCUCCUGCCUCAGCCCCCCAAGUAGCUGGGACUACAGGCGCGCAACACCAUGCCCAGCUAAUUUUUGUAUUUUUAGUAGAGACGGGGUUUCACCUUGUUGACCAGGAUGGUCUCAAUCUCUUGACCUCGUGAUCCACCCACCUCAGCAUCCCAAAGUGCUGGGAUUAUAGGCGUGAGCCACCACGCCCGGCCAAGAUGGUCUUUACAACAACUAGUAUUAGAACAAUUGGACAUCCAUAUGCAGUAAAAUGAAUCUUGAUUUAUACUUCUUAUUUAUCGUAAAAAUUAACUCAAAAUGUAAACCAUACAGCUAUAAUACUUUUACCUGUAAUCCCAGAAGUUUGGAAGGCUGAGGCAGGUGGAUCAGUUGAGCCCAGGAGUUCAAGACCAGCGUGGGUGAUAUGGUGAAACCCCAUCUCUACCAAAAAUACAAGUUAGCCAGGCAUGGUGGUAUACACCUGUAGUCCCAGCUACUUGGGAGGCGAGUUAGGAGACAAUCAUUUGAACCUGGGAAGCUGAGGUUGCAGUGUGCUGAGAUUAUACCACUGCACUCCAGCCUGGGUGACAAAGUUAGACUCCAUCUCAAAAAAUAAAAAAUAAAAUGCAGUUUUGAUUUGUAUCUCUUCUCUAGCUGCCUCUUGGCCUCUAGACCCAUCCAGUUUCUGCUCUCUUCACUGGCACACCAUCUUGCUGCCAGCCAGCAUGAAUGCUAUAACUCUUGUUGGCAAAGUUUCUUCCCUUAGCAUCCGGCCCCUUCCCACACCUUACUUUCCUUAAGUCUGUUUACCCUCCAGGGAGAGGCCAGUCAGGAAAGCCUUCCCUGAGCCGCCUGCCUGGGCCAGAUGUUUGCUCCCACAUGUCUGCUCCUUGGCUCAGCGCCCCCAGCAUGGUGGCGUAGCAGUUAGCCUGAGCAUGGGUUUCCUAGAGCCUGAGAGUCCCCGUUUGUCAGUCCACUAGAAGUUUCAAUUCUGUGCUUCCCAGGGUCCUUCCCAUCAAAGAUAUCUAAGCCAGUAGGAGCAGAGAUGCUGUAGCCAGCCUGCCUGGGUUCAAAUCAUGGCUUCCACACUUACCCACUGUGUGACCUUGGACAAGUUGCUUGCCGUCUUUUGCCUCAUUUCUCUCCUUUGUAAAAUGAAUUUCAUGUUAGAACCAACUCUUAGAGGUGCUGUGAGGAUUAGUUUAGAUAAUUCGUAAAGUGAUCUUGGCACACAGCUUGGCAAAUGCUUGGCUAAAGCAAGCUGCAGCUAUUGACAGUCACUUUUGCAGCUUUAAAAUGAACCUUUUACAGGUUCCCAAGUCCUCUGCGCUGCUGAAACAGAAUGAGAAUGACUUUUGGGAGCAGGGAGUACUUGCAUAUUUUUUCAAAGGCUCCUUGAGUGGGAUUGGCAGAUUCAACAAAGAAAAACAGAGGUUGGCCGAGCGCAGUGACUAACACCUGUAAUCCCAGUAGUUUGGGAGGCUGAGGCAGGCAGAUCCGUUGAGGUCAGGAGUUCGAGAUCAACCUGGCCAACAUGGUGAAACCCAUUUCUACUAAAAAUGCAAAAAUUAGCUGGACAUGGUGGUGUAUGCCUCUAAUCCCAGCUACUUGGGAGGCUGAGGCAGGAGAAUUGCUUGAACCCAGGAGGUGGAGGUUGCAGUGAGCCAAGAUUGUGCCAUUACUCUCCAAGCUGGGCAACAGAGUGACCAAAACAAACAAACAAAAAAAACCACAGAUUUAAUUUGAGCUUCAAAUACAAAACAAAUAAUGUUAUAGGAUAAGGAUGUCUCAAUAUUUGGGCAGUCUUUAUACUAAAAUUUUAUUGUGUAUCUGAAAUUUAAAGGUAACUGGGUAUCCUGCAUUUUAUCUACCAGCAUUUAACCCUAUCCUGGGGGACCUUGACACCCAGCCCACUUGGGGGCUCUGCUCCCAACUCCCUGGUCUAAAGGCAGACCUCCAAGUCAGAAAAGAGAGAGUAUCCUUUUACUUGACACAGGGGGGCGCUAGAAGAUGGCUUGUUCGCUUUGUCUUCCGUAACUCAGUGUCUAGGAAAGCAUUAGCAGAUUGGCUGGCUUGCAACAUUAUCUCUCAGUAGCUGUGAAUCAUUUUCAGAUGUUCAGGUCGACCUCCCAGACGACUCUGGGAGGCUGUAAGAAGCCGAUACAGAGCUGACCACCUCUGUCUUGGGCCUUCACUUCUUGGGUGGCUAGCCUAGCUCCUCAGGGGCUCCCCUGUCCUCGCUUCCCCUCCACCCCACUGCAGGGCUCACCUGUCCUCCACUGAUGUCAUAAUUCUAUUCUGAUAUCACAGCCCAGCACUUGGAAUUAUCCCAGGCAGCCCAGGUUCUGCCCUUAGAGCAACUAAGGCAGGCAGUUGAGUGGGGAGUGGGGAGGUGAGGAGGCAGUUGGGUGGCUGGUGGGCCUAGAGGCUGACCCUAAAGAACACCUGGACAGCCUGCCAUCCUAUUGCUCCAAAAUGAAAAUCCUCUAUAAGAGUCGUUCCUUAGUGCUUGGAGGAUGCCUGCAGGUACUAAUCCAGGUUCUGCUGUGGCCACGGCCUCUGUCCUCACUCCCUAAGAAGCUGGAUGGGAACAGGGGUAUGCCCUCCUCAGACAAAGGGAAAAUACAGGUGCAUUCAAGCUAUUGACCCGCAGACUCCUCGGUACGGAGGAGGAGAGAAGCCCCAUCCUUCCUGCUGGUCAGAGGGUAUAAAGAGAUCUCUUAUGAACUCACUGAGGGAAAAUUUAACUGGUAUGGAUUAAACAACACAACGAAAGAAAACGCUGAAUAACUUCUCUCUUACUCUGACAGACAUGAAGUCUUCCUGGGAAGCAUGUUAAAACUGCAAACUCCUAGGGCAGGACCACUGAGAUUUAGAUCUGAUGGUCAUAUGCCACCCAGGAACCCCCAUUUUAAUUUUUGUUUUAAUUUAAUUUAAUUUUUUUAAAUAUAGAGACAGGGCCUCACCAUGUUACCCAGGCUGGUCUCAAACUCCUGGGCUCAGGCAGUUUUCCUGCCUCGGCCUCCCAAAGUGCUAGGAUUACAGGUGUGAGCCACCUGGCCCUCUCCCAUUUUUAUUUUUUAUUUUUUGUUCGUUUAUUUAUUUUACUUUUUUUUUUUUUAAAGACAGUGUUUCACCAUGUUGGUCAGGCUGGUCUUGAACUCGCCACCUCAGGUGAUCCACCUGCCUUGGCCUCCAUUGGAUUACAGGCAUGAGUCACCGUGCCCGGCCUGUUUGUUUAUUUUUGAGACAAAGUCUCGCUUUGUUGCCCAGGCUGUGAUCUUGACUGCAAGUGAUCUGCCCACCUCAGCCUCCCAAAGUACUGGGAUUACAGGUGUGAGCCACCACUCCCCGCCUUUCCCCCCUUUUUUUUUUAAUUUUAAAUUUUUGAUUUUUGUCAUGGAAUUUCACUCUAGUCACUUAGGCUGGAGUGCAAUGGUGCAAUCUCAGCUCACCACAACCUCUGCCUCCCAGGUUCAAGCGAUUCUGCUACCUCAGCUUCCGGAGUAGCUGGGAUUACAGGCAUGCGCCACCAUGCCCAGCUAAUUUUGUAUUUUAGUAGAGAUGGGGUUUCUCCAUGUUGGCCAGGCUGGUCUUGAACCCUUGACUGCAAGUGAUCCGCCCACCUCAGCUUCCCAAAGUACCGGAAUUAUAGGCGUGAGCUGUGCCUGGCCGUCCCCAUUUUUAUGGUAAACAUUCCACACAGGGCUCCUGCCAGCCCUCCAAGCUUCCCACUUUGAGCACAGUCUGCUCUGUCGACUCCCUGGAUUGCUUAUUGCUGCUGGCUGUCUUCCCCCUUUUCCAAAUUCCAUAUUUUUCUUGGAGGGGGGUUGAGUUAGGCUUUAUUCCACAUAUUUAUUUAAUGUGCGGGAUCCAAGGAGACAAAGCGAUGGUGCAGGGCCCUGUUGUUCAUCAAGUGCAUUGUAUCUAAGUGUUUGGCCCCUGCCUUUUAGGUCUAGGUGCAGCCCCUCUCUCUACCUAAGAAAAUGGCUUUUGGCUAAAUUAGGAGUGCUCCAUCCUUUCUUCAUCGAGAUCUUCUCUUCAUGGUUCUCACCUGAACUGAGAAAAUAGGAUAUGAGCAUGAAUUACUGGUCAUUAAAACUGAUAGUGGAGUCAGGCAUGGCAGCUCAUGCCUGUAAUCUCAGUAUUUUGGGAGGCUGUGGAGGGAGGAUAACUUGAGGCCAGGAGUGGAGAGCAGCCUGGGCAACAUAGCAAGACCCCAACUCUCCAAAAUACAAUAGCUGGGUAUGGUGGCAUGCACCUGUAGUCCUACCUACUAGAGAGGCUGAGGUGGGAGGAGAGUUUGAGCCCAGGAGGUCAAGGCUACAGUGAGCCAUGAUCAUGCUACUGCACUCCAGCCUGGGUGACAGAGCAAGACCCUGUCUCUACAAACAACAAACAUAGUGGUGAAUGGCGUUGCUCAUGGAAGGGAUUGCUUCUGUUUCUCUGGUGGCCCUGGAAUGAACACUGAAUGGUACUCGAGAGGGCAGCCAUGGCUCCUCCAUCACUCAGCAGCUCAAGGUGCACAUUCCUUCCUGGUUGGCUGUGAAUUUAGGCUUUCCCAGUAAAGCCACAUCGCUUUUUGAAUGAAUAAAUAUAUCUAUGCUAGUUCACAGGGUUUUUAGUUGCCAUCUUGCCUGUGCGCUCUUGAACUUUUGAGUUCUUUGCAUUUAGCAGUGUCCAGACAUUCAGGCCUGGAGCCCGUGGAGUGCCUGCGCUUCCCUCCAUGCUCCUGGUCCAGUGGAAAGCAGGACGUGUCCCGGCCCUCAGGCCUUGGUCUUCUGGUUGCAGAACGGAGGGGUUGACCUCACCUAAACCUUCCAAAAAGCAGAUGGUCAGACUCUCUUCCCUUCAAACUCCUCUCUGCCCUGACUCACACCUGGGCCAUUUCAUCCAGUGAGAUUGAAGGAGGAGCAAGGAAGUCCGUGUUUCCCCUCCAUGAUGCGGGACAGGAAGCUGGACUCAGUCUCUUCCACAGGGCCAGGAAGGAUAGUCCCUGACUGCCCAUCUUGGUUUUGGGAGAGAGGAAAACCAGUGCCCAGUCUGGGAAAUGAGGGUUUGGGGGACUGUGGUAAAAUAGAGGACAGGACUCUGCAGGUCAGGGAUAGAGGUGCAUUCAGAGGGCCAGGUGGUUGCUCUUUGCAGCUUCAGCAGCACCUUGGACAUAAUUGCUGCUGUGUAAACGUGUUGAUUGACAGAGGUGCAGGUAAAAACCUCAAAACAGCUGGGCUUAAGUAUGGUCCAAGGAAAUCUCUGGGAUGGAAUGAAAAAAAAUUUUUAACCUGUUAUUGUCAGCCUGGCCAACAUGAUGAAACCCCAUCUCUACAAAAAUACAGCAACAACAACAAAAUUAGCCAGGUGUGGUGGCUAUAAUCUCAGCUACUCUGGAGGCUGAGCCAGGAGAAUUUCUUGGACCUGGGAGGCAAAGGUUGCAGUGAGCCAAGGUCACGCCACUGCACUCCAGCCUGGGCAACAGAGCAAGACACACACACACACUUUUCUCUCUCUCAAAAAAAAAAUUGUGGGUGGGCACGGUGGCUCAUGUCUGUAAUCCCAGCACUUUGGGAGGCUGAGGUGGGCAGAUCACGAGGUCAGCAGUUCGAGACCAGCCUGACCAAUAUGGUGAAAUCCCAUCUCUACUAAAAGUACAAAAAUUAGCCAAGUGUGGGAGCACACACCUGUAAUCCCAGCUACUUGGGAGGCUGAGGCAGGAGAACCACCUGAACCUGGGAGGCAGAGGUUGUAGUGAGCCAAGAUCACACCACUGCACACUCUAGCCCUGGGUGACAGAGCGAGACUCCACCUAAAAAAAAAAAAUUGUUGUUGUUAUACAAAAUAAACAGAAGUAAACAGAAGACUCUCAGGAACCAGCACAUUCCUGUCACCCAGAUGCCACAGUUACCAGCUCAUGGCCAGUCUUGUCUCUAUGCCCCCAGCUUCUUCCUCUGUUAUCUGUAUCAUUCUGAAGCCCGUUGCACAGGUUGUAGCAUCCCAUUUGUUAACAUGUCUGGAUGUAUCUUUAAAAGAUCAGAAUUCCGAGCUGGAUGGGUAUAGGGAUGCUUCUGGAAGGAAUGCCGUGAUGGCUGUGCAGGGAGAGAGCCCCAGAUCCAGUUCAAAUUUGUAUUGGCUGGUGAUGGUGGUACUGGGAAAACGACCUCCGUGAGACGUCCUUUGACUGGUGAAUUUGAGACGUAGCCAGCUUGGAUGUUGAGGCUUAUCCCCUAGUGUUCCGCACCAGCAGAGGACUCUUAAGUUCAAUGUGUGGACACAGCCACCAGGGGGAGUUCGGUGGACUGGGAGAUGGCGAUUAUAUCCAUGCCCAGUGUGCCCUCAUAAUGUUUGGUGUGACAUCGAGAGCUACUUACAAGAAUGUGCCUACCUGGCAUAGAGAUCUGUGUGAGAACAUCCCUGUCGUGUUAUGUGGCAACAAAGUGGACAUUAAGGACAGGAAAGUGAAGGCAAAAUCCAUUGUCUUCCACCGAAAGAAGAAUCUUCAGUACCACGACACUUCUGCCAAAAGUAACUGCACCUUUGAAAAGCCCUUCCUCUGGCUUCCUGGGAAGCUCACUGCAGAUCCUAACUUGGAUUUGUUGCCAUGCCUGCUCUUGCCCCACCAGAGGUUGUCAUGUGCCCAGCUUUGGCAGCACAGGAUGAGCACGACUUAGAGGUUGCUCAGGCAACUGCUCUCCCAGAUGAGGAUGAUGACCAGUGAGAAGGAAGCUGGAGCCCAGCGUCAGACGUCUAGUUUGAUAGGCAGCUGUCCUGUGAUGUCAGUGGUGCAGCGUGUGUGCAUUAUUAUCUAGCUAAGCAUCACAUGUGCUUCAUCUGUGGGGUGCUGAAGGAGAUGAGUGGGCUUCGGAGUGAACGUGGCAGUUUUAAAUAUACCUUCACUGUUCAGACCUGCAUAUUUAGCUGUUUAGGAACGCAGUUGAUUCCUGGAGUUUCGAAUGUAAGACUGCUGCAGUCACAUCACAACCUUCAGUGGUAAAAUCUUGUUGGUCACUAUCAUUCCCAUAUUUUUCGUUUAGAAUCAGAAUAAAGUUGUAUUUUUUUUUUAAAGAUGGGGUUUCACCACAAUGGCCAGGCUGGUCUUGAACUCCUGACCUCAGGUGAUCCACUCACCUCGGCCUCCCAAAGUGCUGGGAUUACAGGUGUGAGCCACCGCACCCGGCCAAUAAAGUUGUAUUUCAAAUAUCUAAAAUAUAAAAAAAUAAAUAAAAGAUCAGAAUUCUUUUUUUUUUUUUUUAACAUAACCGAAGUACGAUGAUCACAUCUAACAAAUGAAUGGUGGGUUCGAAUGAAGUUUAUUUAAAUGAGCCAGUGCUCUCCCUGAGUUUGCAGGAAGUAGAAAAGGGAAUGCAGGCUGGGCCUGCUGGCUCACGCCUGUAAUCCCAGUACUUUGGGAGGCUGAGACAGACAGAUCACAAGGUCAGGAGUUCGAGACCAGCCUAACCAACACAGUGAAACUCCAUCACUACUGAAAAUACAAAAAAAAUUAGCUAGGCUUGGUGGCACGCACCUGUAAUCCCAGCUACUCAGGAGGCUGAGGCAGGAGAAUUGCUUGAACCUGGAAGGCAGAGGUUGCAGUGAGCCAAGAUUGCGCUACUGCACUCCAGCUUGGUGACAGAGCAAGACUCUAUCUCAAAAAAAAAAAAAAAAAGAAAAAGAAAAGGGAAUGCAGAGGGCUGAGAAAGGGGCUGAGCAUGUACUUCCAGCAGCCAAGCUGGGCUCUGUUUAGUUUUGAGAAACCAAAGAGAGGUUAACAGCUCUCAGCUGGGAGAGGAUCUGGGCCCUUCUCAAGGAAGGAGGGCUGGGUGUUCUGACACUUGCCUCAGCAGGGGCCCUGCAGUGUAAAGGCCCAGGGGUGUGGGUUGGGGAUUUGCUAAUGGGAGCACAGUCAGUUCCCAGGUAUCCACAUUAGGAGGAGGAAGAGCCACUAGAAAGCAACAUAGGAAAAUGAUGGUCUUGUUCUUCAGGAAGCGUGAACAAUUUGGAUUUAGACAUGACCUAUGACCCAUGCAGAUGACUAUGGCUUACCCCCGAGAGACCUGUAUAAAUCAGUGCUAACUGAAAGAGGCUCAGGGUAAAUGGGUCACUGGUGAGUUUGAAUGCACGUGCAGAGCUCAGAGGAGAUUGAUGUUCUGUUCUCAGAGAAACUGAGUUGGAUUUUCACACUGAGGGUGACAGCGUUUGUUCUGAGCGCCUCCUCAUGGGACUUUAGCCUGCCAACCAAGCUGAGGAGCAAGCCCAGAAGUCGCCACCUUAUUUCAGUAGAAAAGUAGGCCUUAUGAAAUAUGCCUCUGGGGGUGGGGGUUCUUCUUAUGAAGAGGUCAGAGCAUAAUAAAAGUGGUUGUCUAUAGUUUAAAACAUUCUUGCAGCUGGGCACGGUGGCUCAGGCCUGUAAUCCCAGCACUUUGGGAGGCCGAGGCAGGCGGAUCACUUGAGGUCAGGAGUUUGAAACCAGCCUGACCAACAUGGUGAAACCCCGUCUCUACUAAAAAUACAAAAAUGAGUUGGGCGUAGUGUCAUGUGCCUGUAGUCCCAGCAACUCGGGGGGCUGAGGUGGGAGAAUCGCUUGAACCUGGGAGGUGGAGGUUGCAGUGAGCAGAGAUCAAGAUCAUGAUAUUACACUGCAGCCUGGGGGACAAGCGUGAAACUUCAUCUCAAAAAAACAACAACAAAAACAUUUUUGCCAUUAAGGUAGUUUAAGCAUCAUUUUUCUGCCAGGGCAAUUACCUGGAUUUCUAAUUGUUUCCUUUGUAACUAGAGGGCAUAAUAGUACUUUCCUUUGUAAUUAUCAGAUUGGAGAAGUUUAUUCUUUGUUGCUAACCUUCUCAUGGAUCUGUAGGCAUGAGAACCAGACUCUGAUGCAGGCAAGGCUGUCAAGUCAGGAUGUCACUAAUUCCAGAGGCGGAGGAUCUGGGGGGCCAGCCCAGAUGCCUGACCUAAACCUGAGGCUGGCAGGACUGUGACAUUUCCCUGGGUACCCACUGCAUUUCACUUGAACAGUUUGGAAAGGCUGAGUAUUCUGGGCUGUGGAACUGGAAGUCUGGGCUCUGAGGGGGCCUCUCAGUCAUUUUGCUAAAUCACAGAACCAUGCCUGGUGUUAUGAACAAGUAUGGCUUAGUAAAGCGGACACAAAAUUUGGGAUCCUGGCUUUGCCCUUGAGUCACUGUGUGACUUUGAACAAGGCCCUCUACCUCUCUGAGCUACAAUUUCUUUGCCUAUCACAGGGAUGAGUAAUGUCUGCAUCAUGAGAUGGUUGUGAAGGUAAAUAACAAUAAUAUUUUUAAAUUAGGUGGGUACAGUGGCUCACACCUGAAUUCCCAGCACCCUGGGAGGCUAAGGUAGGUGGAUCACCUGAGGUCAGGAGUUAGAGACCAGCCUAGCCAACAGGGCAAAACCCUGUCUCUACUAAAAAUACAAACAUUAGCUGGGUCUAUGAUGCAGGUCUGUGGUCCCAGGUACUCCGGAGGCUGAGGCAGGAGAAUCACUUGAACUCGGGAAGCAGAGAUUGGGUGAGCAGAGAUUGUGCCACUGCAUUCCAGCCUGGGCAACAGAGCGAGACUCCAUCUCAAAAAAAAAAAAUAAAUAAAUAAUACACGACAGGUCUAGGUGAGAGGGAAGCACACGGAGCAGCUUCCAAAUGCCAGUCGUCAUCACUACCAUUCCAGGCUCUUCAGCUCAGGUCCUCAGCUGACAAUAGAUCUGUGUGUGAUGGUCUCAUAUGUAUGGGGUGUCUUCUACCUACACUGGAUACGCCUUCAUGGACAGUGAUAUGGUUUGGCUGUGUCCCACCCAAAUCUCACCUUGAAUUGUAAUAAUCCCCAUGUAUCAAGGGCAGGGCCAGGUGGAGAUAAUUGAAUCAUGGGGUGGUUUCCUGCAUACUGUUCUCAUGGUAGUAAAUAAGUCUCACAAGAUCUGAUGGUUUAUAAAGGGGAGUUCCCCUGCUCAUGCUCUCUUGCCUGCUGCCAUGUAAGAUGUGACUUUGUUCCUCAUUCCCCUUCCACCAUGAUUUUUUUUUUUUUUUUUGAGAUGGGGUCACACUCUGUUGUCCAGGCUGGAGUGCAGUGGUGAGAUCUCGGCUCACUGCAACCUCCGCCUCCCAGGUCAAGCAAUUCUCGUGCCUCAGCCUCCCAGGUAGCUGGGAUUUCAGGCAGGUGUCACCAUGCCUGCCUAAUUUUUGUAUUUUUAGUAGAAACGGGAUUUCACCAUGUUGGCCAGGCUGGUCUCAAACUCCUGACCUCAAGUGAUCUGCCUGCCUCGGCCUCCCAAAGUGCUGGGAUUACUGGCGUGAGCCACUGUGCUGCUGGCAGCCUUCCACCGUGAUUGUGAGGUCUCUCCAGCCAUGUGGAACUGUGAGUCCAUUAAACCUCUUGCCUUUAGAAAUUAUCCAGUCUCCAACACUGGUGGAUCACGAGGUCAAGAGAUUGAGACCAUCCUGGUCAACAUGGUGAAACCCCGUCUCUACUAAAAAUACAAAAAUUAGCUGGGCAUGGUGGGACGCGCCUGAAGUCCCAGCUACUCGGGAGGCUAAGGCAGGAGAAUUGCUUGAACCUAGGAGGCAAAGGUUGCAGUGAGCCGAGAUCGUGCCAUUGCACUCCAGCCUGGGUAACAAGAGUGAAACUCCAUCUCAAAAAAGAAAAAAACCAAAAAAACCCAGAAAUUACCCAGUCUCGGGUAUGUUCUUAUUAGCAGCAUGAGAAUAGACUAAUACAAACAGGGAUCUGUUUUACUAAUUCAUUUUUAAAAAAUUAUUUUUUCAUGGUUUUCUAUCCAGGGUCAAUUGGUGGCAGGGAAAAAACCCCGGUGAGACUGGCUGAAGCACAAGUGGGGACUAUGCUCAGCGUGCAGGAAGUGGAGCGUCCAGGGGAGGGGUGCGUUUGUAGCUGCUCUCUCUGACAACCCAUUGCUGGUUCUCUCCCGGUGUCCCCUCUGUGUCCUUUCCCUCUGUAGCCUGGCUUCUUUGUUCCUCCAUAGUUUUGUUCUGCAGGUGGGCCUGGCCUGCCCUGGCUGUGCCUGGCCUAGUGGCUGCAAUCUCUGGCUCUAGCUUCAAAUUCUUGAAUGAGAGGCUCUGGUGCAGCUCAGAGCAGGUUCCCUGCCCUGGCCUAAUCAAGCAUGAUCAGAGCAGGGCAAGGUCAUGCCUGAGGAGCCACCAAAGUGUGUGUUGCAAGGAAGCCUUAAAUCCUGUCCCCAUUGCUGGAUCUUCCUGACACUUGGUCUCUUCCAAGGAGCCUUUGGUGACCACCUCUAGUUCCCUCCCAUCGGCAGGAGGGCAGGCGAAACUUGUUUGGACUCCAUGUGUGCCAAGCCUGCCCCUCACCUGUAUCCAGCCCAGGCCAAGGAAUCAUGGUGGGCUCAGAACCUCCUCUGGAGGGAGGCCAGUCUGUCAAGCAGACAUGACAACCACAGAUUGUGGAAGAGAAACCUUGGAAGACAAGACAAGUUGCUGAAAGCACAGGCAGGAAUCAUGGAAGCUUCCAGAGGCUUCGGAGGGGCAGCCUGGGGUGUUGGGGAGGCCUGGGGAGCAUAGGAAGGGCUGAGUUUAGUGGAGGCUGGCUCUCAGCAGCACAGUGGCGGCCCCUGUCCACAUAUGGCACACCUGAACACAGUGGCACCAGCAGCCCAAGGCGUCCAUGUGGUUCCAAAGCCUCAGGCUGGUGUGAGCUACUGUACUCCUCUAUGAGGCCACCCACCAGUGGGGGCGCCAAUGGGUGGGCUCCAGGCUGGCUUCAUCUGUUAGCCUGGCUUGCUUCCCUUGUUCUGUGGCCAGUGUUCUCUGGUGAAGGCAUCCUGUUUGCAACAUGAGUUCCACUGCAGAUGGUUUGAGAAACACUGGUCCAGAGCUUCCACCUGAAUCAGUAUUGGCUGUAGAAACUCAGACUGAGCCUGAAGGUGGGAAGGGCUCAGGCUUGGGCUCAGGUAUGGCAAGAGGCAAGACCUGGUGUUUCAUGAUCUCCCUGCUCUCCACGGCUUGGGGCCAGUUCUCCUUCCACAGAAAGGAUGGAGCCUGUGCUCAUCCACAGGCCUCAAUGCCUAGACACAGAAGGAACACUCUGUCCUGCCCCCAGAUGUUUGGUGUACCCAGGGCUAUAGCUCAGUAGGCCGCCUUAGUCCAGGUGAGAACAGAGAAGGGGACAGGGCACCAUCAGGCAUCCACAAGCUGGAGAACCAGGCCAGAGACAAGCCCCUGGGGCAGGUUGUGGUCUGACCUUGCAGGCUGGAGUUGGCGAUUCGCCGCGACCUCAGGCACUGGCCCCUGGAGAGCCUGGGAUGGAGCCUGCAAGCUGGGACUCCCAUAGGUAAGCUCUGGUUUUAGUGAUUGAGUGGUAGGUUUUCCUUCCCCCACAGCAGCCACCUUACAUUUUUCUUUGGAAGACAGUCAGAAUCACUUGACUGCUCCGAAAUGCGGUAGCCUCCCUGAGGAACAAGGGUUUUCGUUUUAAUUAGGCUCUUGAGCCUCAGUACUGUGCCCACCGUGGAAGACCUGCAGCCAGAGAUGAGCCCAUCUUUCCUUGUCUCUGUUAAGCACAGAAGCGGGGUGGCCAGGCUGGCCUGUGGGAGGUCUUGUCAUGAGUGAGGCAGUUUGGUGUCAUGGAGAACUCCUGUGCACAGAGAUGCUUCGCCAGCUCAGCCGAAGGUGUCACCUUCAGGGCCUGGCCACAGAAGCCCUCAAGUCCUACCUGUCCUGGGAGCAGCCCUGCUGGCUCUGGGCAAGCCUGGGACUGGUUAGGCCUGGCUUUGAGGCCACUCUGAGGUCUGGGUUUCCCUCUCCUCAGCUGAGUGAUGUCCACUGUGGCCUCUGCCUCUCUUGGCCUCAGCACCUCGGCUGUUAGCUGGCACGAGCCCCGUUUACUAUGAGGUGUCACGCAUCACACAGGGAACAGCUACUGCUGUUAAACACUUUUUUUUUUUUUUUUUGAGACAGUCUUGCUCAGUUGCCCAGGCUGGAGUGCAGUGACACAAUCUUGGCUCACUGCAACCUCCACCUCCCAAGUUUAAGCGAUUCUCCUGUCUCAGCCUCCUGAGUAGGAGGCCACCUGCCACCAUGCCUGGCUAAUUUUUGUAUUUGUAUUUUUAUGUAUGUAUGUAUGUAUUUAUUUUUGAGAUGGAGUUUCUUAUUACCCAGGCUGGAGGGCAGUGGCAUAAUCUUGGCUCACUGCAACCUCCACCUCCUGGGUUCAAGUUAUUCUCCUGCCUCAGCCUCCCAAGUAGCUAGGAUUCAGGCAUCUACCACCACACCCAGCUAUUUUUUUUUUUUAUUUCACCAUGUUGGCCAGGCUGUCUUGAACUUCUGAGCUCAAGUGAUCCUCCUGCCUCAGCCUCCCAAAGUGAGCCAUGACACCCAGCCUCUUAAGUGCAUUUUAUCCAGGACACCCUCCUGACUCCCCAGCCCAGGUAUGCUUCCCAUGUAGUGGAAAGAGUGCUAUAUGACUCCUUCAUAGCACUCACCCCAGGUGCGCUGAUGGUUCACCUGUACACUUAUUUGUUUAGGGUUUGACUUCCCUGAUAAUCCAUAGCAAGAGAAGGGUGGGAAUUGUGACAACUGGCUUGCCACUGAAUGCCCAGUGCCUAGCACCUUGCUUGUCUUGGAGUAGACAUGCUCGAAUUAUUUGUUGUAGGAAUUGGGGAGGGAAGGAGGGAGAGAGAGAUUCCAUGAAUGAUUGAGCGUGAGAAGUGGGCGCUGGUGCUCUGGCCAGACACAGUGGUCACUUUGGUCCACAGACUCUGGGUGUAGAGCCUCUGGGCCACUUGGAUAAGCAGUCUCAGGGUCCUCACAGAGCCAACUUGGAAGAGCAAGUCCUUCCAAAGGAUAUCACUGAGUGUGGGAGGCCAUGAGGGACUUCAAGGUGACUCCAGAGAGCCAAGCCAGAGAGGCACCCCAGCAGGGGCAGUGGAGUCCUUAGCAAGGGGCAGUCAGUGGCAGUCACCAUAUUUAGCCCUCCAGCCACUGCCAUUUGUAUGAAGUACAGUGGAGGCCAGGGAUGCUUGGCUGUCGUGCUAACACAGGUGUCUGAGUUUUUACCUAUGUAAGAUCAAUGCUUAAUGGUCUUCAUCUCCCAAGUGGCGGUCUAGUGUCAUGGGUGAGCAUAACACCCAUGAGAGGUGGCUUAUAAGAGACAGGCCAAGGCUUGGACUCCCCAGUGGGGCUGGGUGCUUCCUUGGCUACUUAGCUGUGGUACCUGGGCAAGCCCACCAGCUCCUCCAAGCUCUAGCUGCCUUGUCUCUAAAAUGGACAGUUCCAAUCCUAGCCUACCUGACAUCCGCUGUGAGGACAGAUGAGUGUGUGCGGGAAAGGGUUGCCUAGGAUCACCACUGGGGUUGUUGUCAUUACAGGGGUAGCCAGCAAUAAAGCUGGGCCCUUCUCAGCUCCUCUGUGAGGCGACGGUCCUUGUGGAGGGCAUUGUCAUUGGCGUGUGUGCCCAGGCACCAAGCCAGCCAGGUGGUUUGUGUAAGGGACGUGCCACUACCUAGGGCCCUUGAGUCAGAAUGCUGGGAGCAAAAGGCGUGUCCCCAAACAUUUCUGCCUUUUAAGAAAACUGUUUGAUGUUUUGUGAAAAUAUUCAAUGGAAAAAGAAAAGCACAGACCGUGCAAAUCUCAAAUCUACUAACCCAGCAAUAAUGACUGUUAAACCUUUACUAAAAGUAUGACAGACAAUCUAGAUAUAGAAUUUUAUAGCAAUGGGAGGGUCCAAUAUUUGGUUUUAUAACUGACUCAUUAAACUUGACAAUAGGUUGUGGACAUUCCAUGCCAAUGAGUAUACAUCUGUGGCACCACUCUUUAUUAAAAAAUCAAUUUUAUUGUGUAUACUUAGGGCAUUCAAUAGAUAAUAAAAUGGUUACCAAACAGUGAGGAGCUAUGUGAGAUGAUAGCACCACUUUUUAUAGUAUUUUAUCAUAGAAAACGUCUAACAUUUCUAUGCAUGUAAAUCCACACAUACAUGGUCUCAGUUCUCAUCACUUAGCUUUCAGUCAUUUUCAAUUGUGGCCAAUCUUAUUUCAUCUCAGCCCUUACUAUUUCCCCCUGUUAAUGACUAUUUUAAUAUUGUGGCAAAUACAUACGACAUUGAAUUUACCAUUAAAGGCACUUAGUACAUUCACAGUGUUGCACGGCCAUCACCUCUCCCUGGCUCCAGAACAUUUUCAUCACUCCGAAGGAAACCCUGCACCCAUUAAGCAGGGACUCCCCAUUUUCUCUCUCUCAGCCCCUGGCAACCACUAAUCUGCUUUCCCCACUAUUAUUUUACAGCAAACCCCAUCUGUGCACAUUUCACUGUGUAUCUCUAAAAAACAAGGAGUCUUUUAAAAACGUAAAUUCAGCCAGGCGCAGUAGCUCAUGCCUGUAAUCUCAGCACUUUGGGAGGUCGAGGCAGGUGGAUCACUUGAGGUCAGGAGUUCAAGACCAGCCUGGCCAACAUGGUGAUACCCCAUCUCUACUAAAAAUAAAUAAAUAAAUAAAUAAAUAAAUAAAAUAAGAGUCAUCUGGUCCUGGUGGCGAGCGCCUGUAAUCCCAGCUACUUGGGAGGCUGAGGCAGGAGAAUCGCUUGAACUCGGGAGGCAGAUGUUGCAGUGAGCCAAGAUUGUGCCACUGCACUCCAGCCUGGGUGAAAGAGCAAGACUCUGUCUCAAAAAACAAAAAAUGAAAUGAACAAACAAAAAAACCCCACAAAUUCAAGACCAUGAUCCUACCUGAAAUCACAAUGCUUUUUUUUUUUUUUUUAAGACAGUGUCUCCCUCUUGUCGCCCAGGCUGGAGUGCAGUGGCAUGAUCCCAGCUCACUGCAACCUCCCUCUACCUCCCAGUUCAAGCAAUUCUCCUGCCCCAGACUCCCGAAUAGCUGGGAUUACAGGUACCCACUACCACACCUGGCUAAUUUUUGUGCUUUUAGUAGAGACAGGGUUUCACCAUGUUGACCAGGCUGGUCUUGAACUCCUGAUCUUAGGUGAUCCGCCUGCCUCGGUCUCCCAAAGUGCUGGGAUUACAGGCGUGAGCCACUGCAUCCAGCCUGAAAUCACAAUUCUUUAGUAUCAUUAUUCAAAUGCCACAGUAUAAAUGUCAUUGUUUUCAAUUUUUAAUUUUUGUGGGAGCAUAUAGGUGUAUAUGUUUAUGGGAUAGGUAAGAUGUUUUUUGAGGGGAGGUUGUUUUUUUUCUGAGACAGAGUCUUGCUCCAUCACCCAGGCUGGAGUGCAGUGGUGCCGUCUUGGCUUAUUGCAACUUGCAAUAAGUGAUUCUCAUACCUCAGUGUCCUGAGUAGCUGGGACUACAGGCAUGCACCACCACGCCUGGCUAAUUUUUGUAUUUUUAAUAGAGAUAGGGCUUCACCAUGUUGGCCAGGCUGGUGUUGAACUCCUGGCCUCAAGUGAUCUUCCCACUUCAGCCUCCCAAAGUGCUGGGAUUACAGGCAUGAGCCACUAUGCCCAGCCUCAUUUUUCUUUUUCUUUUCUUUUUUUCUUUCUUUCUCUUUUUUUUUUUUACUUGAGACAUGGUCUCACUCUGUCACCCAGACUGGAGUGCAGUGGUAUGUUCUCAGCUUACUGCAACCUCCACCUCUUGUGCUCAAGCAAUCCUCCCACCUCAGCCUCCCAAAGCUGGGACCGCAGGUGCAUGCCACCAUACUUGUCUAAUUUUCAUAUUUUUAGUAGAGAUGGGAUUUCACCAUGUUGCCCAAGCUGGUCUCCAACUCCUGAGUUCAAGUGAUCUGCCCGCCUCUGUCUCCCAACAUGCUGAUAUUAUAAGCAUGAACUACUGCACCUGGUCUAAUAAAUGUCAAUGUUAAUGAUCCAUGAUAUUUCAUUAAAUAGAUAUAGCUCACUUUACUGAAACAUUUUUGAAACUGUUUGCCAGUUUAUUCAAUUGCAUUCUAGUUAUUGGCAGUGUUUCUCUAUUAUCAACAGAAGGUACUGGGACAAGCAUUUCUGUGCUCACAUUUUUUUUUCUUUUUUUUCCCCCCACUGGUGUGGUUAUUCCCUAAGGGUAAAUUCUUAGAAAAUGGAUGAGUGGGUCAAGUGCAUGCUUCACAUUUUGAUACUGUUGCUGAGUUAUCCUUCAUCAAUGUUGUUCCGAUUUACACUCCCCUUGGCAGAAAAUGCAUGGUUUAUUUAAGGAAAGAUAGUUCCUGGAAAUAUUCAUGUGUAAUCCUUUGACCUGCCUCAAGUAAAAGUACACCACUGCCCAAGACCAUGGGAACCCAUCUCUUGCAUCAGUGUGACCUGGAUGUGAGACAUGGAGUUCAAGGAGACCAUUUUGGAGCUUUAAGAUUUGACUGCCCCACUGGAUUUCAGACAUGCAUAGGGCCUGUAGCCUCUUUGUUUUGGCCAGUUUCUCCAGUUUGGAAUGGCUGUAUUUACCCAAUGCCUGUACCCCCACUGUAUCUAGAAAGGAACUAACUUGCUUUGGAUUUUACCGGCUCAUAAGCAGAAGGGACUUACCUUGUCUCAGAUGAGACUUUGGACUGUGGACCUUUGAGUUAAUGCUAAAAUGAAUUAAGACUUUGGGGGACUGUUGGGACGGCGUGAUUGGUUUUGAAAUGUGAAGGCAUGAGAUUUGGGAGGGACUGGAGGAGGAAUGAUAGGGUUUGGCUGUGUCCCCACCUACAUCUCAUCUUAAAUUCCCAUGCAUUGUGGGAGGGACCGGGUAGGAGGUGGUUGAAUUAUGGGGGUGGGUCUUUCCUGUGCUGUUCUUGCGAUAGCGAGUAAGUCUCACAAGAUCUGAUGGUUUUUAAAAAGGGGAGUUUCCCUGCACAAGCUCUCUUCUCUUGUCUGCUGCUGUGUGAAAUGUGCCUUUUACCUUCUGCCUUGAUUGUGAGGUCUCCCCAGCCACGUGGAGCAGUAAGUCCAUUGAACCGCUUUCUUUAGUGAGUUGCCCAGUCUUGGAUAUGUCUUUAUCAGCAGUGUGAGAAUGGACUAAUACAACUAUUCUUCUGUCUGUACAGAAAUACUCAGUUGCACUGGGCUGAGGGUCUCCCAGAUGCAACAGCAGCUCAAGGCCAUCGCUUGAUAACCAGAUGCUGGAGAAAAAUGCCAUAGUGCCCACAGCGACAGCCCAUGCAGCCCUUCUGCUAAGGGAGGGCAGGGAGCAGUCAGGGAGAGUGACGGUAGCAGCUGGGGAGAGCAGGUGGGCAGAAAGCCCCAUUAGUGGAGCUUGGCUGGUUUACACACGUGCUCAUCUGUCUGGAAGCCCAGGAAGCUGUUGGGAGGAAAUCGAUGCUCUGUCUUUUGGGGGAGAGGGAGGAAGAAGGAAUUGGUGAGAAAAAUGAUCCUUCACUAUUCACUUCAACUUGAUUUUCUGUGCUAUUAAAAAGGUUAUAGUGACGUUAAAGGAGUUUAUUUAUUUAUUUGAGGCAGAGUUUCACUCCAUCACCCAGGCUGGAGUCCAGUGGCACAAUCUCGGUUCACUGCAACUCCACCAUCCAGGUUCAAGAGAUUCUCGUGCCUCAACCUCCCGAACAGCUGGGACUAUAGGCAUGUACCGGCAUGCCCAGCUAAUUGUUUUUUUUAGUAGAGAUGGGGUUUCACCACCUUGGCCAGGCUGGCCUCAAUCUCCUGACCUCAAUUCAUCUGCCCACCUCGGCCUCCCAAAGUACUAGGAUUACAGGUGUGAGCCACAGUGCCCAGCAUUAAAGGAGAUUUAAAAGAAGAAAUAUAAACCUUACCGUGAUCCCAGUGAGUGCUGUUUCUCCAGGACCUGCUCAUCCUGCCUGUACGCAUGCACGCGCGAGCACACACACACACACACACACACACACACACACACACACUCCGCUGACACCACCACGACCACCACUGCGUUCCCCUUCCCCUGGGCAUACCAGCAUCAGCAUUCUGGCUACUCUUCAGUUUUUGUUGUCACUGUCUGCUUUUGCUUCUGCUCUGUGGAGAGCUUGGCGCCAGUUUUCUUAUCCAGCCAUCCAGUAGUUGGACACUUGAGCAGCCUGCAAUUAUGGCCUGUUAUAACACCCGCCACCCAUGUCCAUUCUUGGAGUGCCCUUUCUUUGAUAACACUUCCCUAGGGAAAAUUCUGUUGGCUGGUGGAUGUGAGUGGUAUUGUGGCUCUUGAUUUCCCCUGUCCUCUAGCCCAGUUGUUUUAAAAAAAUAGAAGUGAGUGCCUAGAAAGGCACAAGAUAACCACUACAGUAUGAGAAGAAAACAUUAGAAGUUCUUUUCAAACCGGGCACGGUGGCUCACACCUGUAAUCCCAGCACUGUGGGAGGCCAAGCUGUGUGGGUGACUUGAGGUCAUGAGUUCGAGAGCAGCCUGGCCAACAUGGUGAAAUCCUGUCUCUACUAAAAAUAAAAAAAUUAGCCAGAUGUGGUGGUGGGCACCUGUGAUCCCAGCUACUUGGGAGUCUAAAGCUGGAGAAUCGCUUGAACCUGGGAGGCAGAGGUUGCAAUGAGCCAAGAUUGUGCCACUGCACUCCAGCCUUGGCAACAGAGUGAGACUCCAUCUCAAAAAAAAAAAAAAAAACUGAUUUAAUUUUAUCUUUAAAAAUUUUAGUUUUUAUAUAUGUUGUAUAAUAUACAUAAAGUGUAAGUCAAAUAGUACAACAUAUGUGUAAUCUAGAAACCAUUAUUCAUAUACUGAGGGCUCAUGUUUUUUGGAUGGGGACAUUUGCAAAUGUCUCCAGAGGGUGAUCCCAGGCAGCAUGGUCACCAAGUGCACUCCUGCCUCCGCCACUUGGCCUCCCUUCCCUUCCUGGGGUGCACUUGCAGCUGUGGGAGCUGGACAAAGUAACUCCAAGUGACAAGAACCCAUAUCUUGCCCUUCACUGAGAAAGCGCCAGAGAGAAAGGAAGUACUUUUUUUUUAAAGUAUCCUCAGUUCCUUUCUAGAAUGAAGUAGAAAUAGAGCUGAGGGGACAAAGGAGGGGUCCAGUCUCAUGCUUGAGCUAUGAGGACCUGUAGGACCCCCAGCCCCUUUGGUGGCUAGGUGGUUUUUUUUCCUGGUGAUAGGUGGUCCUUGCUGCCCACCCUGGCUCACCUGAGCGGCCCCUGCCCUUUGCACCUGUCUCCCCACAUGUGUCUCCCCACGCCUCUGACUCAGAAGUCCAGCUUGUCAUCGCCCCUCAGGCUCUCUCUUGCCUUUUGGUGUUCCUUUCCUCAUUGUUUUUCCUUUUAGAUGCGCAUUUUGUGCGUGUCAGUCAGAUUCUCAUUCUAUAUGAAGUGAAAACUUUUCAUCUAUUUGUCAAUUCAAAGCCAAAUCAAGAUGCCAGAAUUGAAGGAUCAUUCAUGCUGAGUGUUUGGUUUGGUCCUUGAGGGGCCCACAGCCCUGGUCGAGCAGAAAGGCGCUGUUAUUUAGCAUUAUUUGAAAACCACGAGUUACCUGGUACCAUUUGCUGCAGCCCGGUGCUAACGCUUCUGCUGUGACUACACCGCAGUGAUCCAUUUCCUCUCAGAAUGUGGCACAGUGAAGAUCCAGUAGCAUGUCCCAUGAAAAAUCUCAUCCAGGAGGGGUGCAGCUGCUGAGAAGCCAACCUCAUUCAAGAGUUUUCCCCAGCCCCUGCUAUGUGUGAAGAACCCAACACGCAGGAGAUGGAGUAAAUGCCAUAGCGCUGUGACUGGCAUUUUCCAUGUUGUUGUAAUGCACCCAGGCCACUAAGACUUCACUGAACUGUUUUUGAUUUGGUUUUAUUUUAGUUUUUUUGAGAUGGAGUCUUACUCUACUGCCCAGGCUUGAGCACAAUGGUGCCAUCUCAGCCCACUAUGACCUCCACCUCCCUGGUUCAAGCAAUUCUCAUGCCACAGCCUCUCAAGUAGCUAGGAUUACAGGCACCUGCCACCAUGCCCGGCUAAUUUUUGUGUUUUUAGUAGAGACAGCAUUUCGCCAUGAUAGCCAGACUGGUCUCGAACUCCUGACCUCAGGUGAUCCGUCUGUCUCGGCCUCCCAAAGUGCUAGGAUUAUAGGCGUAAGCCACCGCACCUGGCCUACAACUAAACUGUUUUAAUUGAACCCCUUUGGCAUUUGUGGAUCUAAGGUCUGGCAUUUCAAACAACUCAAAAGUAAAAGUGGGCCUCCAGUGGGCUGACCAGGGAGCUGGCUUUCAGCAGGAGGUGGGAGGCCUUGAGGGGCCCACACACAAGGUUUCGGCCUCAUGUAUGAUUUUUAUUUUAAUAUUUAAAAUGUUUUUGUUUUUACAUCCACUCAUACACACAGGAAGGGAGUAUGGAAGUCAUGCUUCUUUUAAAAGUAGCAGCCCUGUUCCCCGACCUUCCUCUCUUUCCAUCCUGUUCCCCAAAGCAGCCAUUCCUGACUUUAGUUAAUGCCCUGGUUCAUGCCAUGCACUGAGUCAUUUGUCCUGUGGCUCAGGCUCCAGCCUGAGGUAUGUGUGUGGAGAGACCCAGGAAUACCUGCUUGAGUAGGUAAUGUGUAAUCACAAAUGGAAUCCAAUCUGAUAUAUCUCUGCCUCCUAUAAAGAUCUUAGCAGCUUGGGCAGAGAUUCUCUGGGGGAUGUGAAUGGUGGCCCUGAGUGGACUGUGGACUACAUUGGCCUCAAGUGGGCUGACUGGGGAGUGGCAUCUGCCCAGUAGGGGAAGAUGGGGACCAGUGGCAAAGUGAGCCAUGAGAACACUGGGCUUCUAGCAGGAGAUAAGAGGUCUGACCACAGGAAGCUUCUGGGCCUCCUGAUCUCAGCGUGCUUGCAGUGAGUGUCCCAGCUGGAGAAUGUGUGGAAUAUAGAGUUUCUUCACGGACAACCACUCUUUAUUUUGUUUUCCAUCCAUGUGUUAAAAAAAAUUAACAGAAGAACGGGAAAAAAAAAUUAUAAGCUGGGCUCAGUGGCUUUUGCCCGUAAUCCCAGCACUUUGGGAGGCCGAGGCAGGUGGAUUACUUGAGGUCAGGAGUUUGAGACCAGCCCAGGCCAACAUGGUGAAACUCCAUCUCUACUAAAAAUACAACAAUUAGCCAGCCAUGGUGGAGGGCACCUGUAAUCCCAGCUAUUUGGGAGGCUGAGGCAGGAGAAUCAAUUGAACCCAGGAGAUGGAGGUUACAGUGAGCCAAGAUCAUGCCACUGCACUCCAGCCUGGGCGACAGAGCGAAACUCUGUCUCAAAAACAGAAAAUCGUAACUGGAGUGCAGUAAACUGCCUACAGUGUACAGUCUGAUCAGUUUUGACCUUUAAGCACCCAUGAAACCACUGCCAUAGUCAGGAUAAUGUACACAUUCAUCACCCCAAAUUCUUUCAGGCCCUUUUGUAAUUCCUCCUUAGCCCCUUCCACCUCCUGCAGACAACCAUUAAUCUACUUUUUGGUGUGAUAGCUUCCAUUUUCUAGAAUUUCUUUCUUUCUUUUCUUUCUUUCUUUCCUCCCUUCCUCCCUCCCUCCCUUUCUUUCUUUCUUUUUCCUGUUUUUUUUUUUUUUUUUUUUUUUUUGAGGUAGAGUUUUCGAUCUUGCUGUCCAGGCUAGAGUGCAGUGGUGCAAUCUUGGCUCACUGCAACCUCCACCUCCUGAGUUCAAGCAAUUCUCCUGCCUCAGCCUCCCAAGUAGCUGGGAUUACAGGCACAUGCCACAACACCCGGCUAAUUUUUUUUUAUUUUUGGUAGAGACCAGGUUUCACCGUGUUCGCCAGGCUGGUCUCAGACUCCUGACCUCAGGUGAUCUGCCUCAGCUUCCCAAAGUGCUGGGAUUACAGGCAUGAGCCACUGCACCUGGCUGCAUUUUCUAGGAUUUUAUACAAAUGGGAUUGUACUACAUGUACUCUAGUUGGCUUUUGUCACCCAGUGUAAUUAUUUUGAAAUUCAUCUGUGUUGUUGCACACAUCACUAGUUUAUUUUCAUUGCUGAGUAGUGUUUCAUUGUGUGGAUGCAUUUAGCUGUUGCCUGUGGAUGAACUUUUGAGUUGUUUCCAGGUUUGGCCAUAACAGAGCUGCUGUGAACAUUUGCAUUCAAGUCUUUCUGUGGACAUACAGGUUUUUUUCUCUUGGGCAAAUACCUAGGAAUGAAAUGGCUGGUUCAUAGGGUAGGUAUAUGUUUAACUUUUGAAGAAAUUGCCACAUCGUCUGCCAAAGUGGUUACACCAUUUUACAUUCCCAUAAGCAGCAUGAGAGUGUCCUAGGCUGGGGACGACAGAGUCGGCCAUCCCAGGACAACCUGAGAAAGUGUCAAACACAGAUUCUCCUGAUGAGCAACUACUCAUUUUGCCUUUUCAAAAAUGAUCGUAUGUUUUCUCAGGCAUGACAGUGUCUGAUAUGUCCUUUCUGCUUCAAAGAGUAUGGAACCUGUGGCUUUUCUUUUUUUUUUUUUUUUUUUUUUUUUUUUGGAGAAAAGGAAAAUUAUUGUGUAUACACAGGGAGAAUCACAGGGCAAUUGCCCAGGAACCCGUGUGCUAUUCAUUGGUAUCUGGGGGAUUUAGUGAAGGCAGCUCACUGCAGACACAGGAUCUUGCCUCUCAAGGUUCUGCCUGUUUUCAUUCCCCUAAGACAUAAAAUACCACAUCUCAGAGGCAGGGAGUCUUAUUCAGAGAACUCUUUUUUUUUUUUUUUUUUUUUUUUUUUUUUUGAGACAGAGUCUUGCUCUGUUGCCCAGUGCCCAGGCUGAGUGCAGUGCUAUGAUCUUGGCUCACUGCAGCCUCCAAACCUCCACCUCCUGGAUUCAAGUGAGUCUCCUGCCUUAGCCUCCCAAGUAACUGAGACUAUAGGCAAGUGCCACCACGGCCAGCUAAUUUUUCUAUUUAUAGUAGAGACAGAGUUUCACCACAUUGGCCAGGCUGGUCUCAAACUCCUGACCUCAAGUGAUCCACCCACCUUGGCCUCCCAAAGUUCUGUGAUUACUGGCAUAAGCCACCAUGCCAAGCCAGAGAGCAUAUUUUGUCUUAAGGCAAAUUAAUAACUCUGUAAUACCGAUAACACUCUUGCUUCCCAAAUCUGCCUGGUAUGUAAAAUCUUUGCUGUUGGGAAUGCUUGCAUGAGAAGGCAAUUUAUGGAAAUAGAAAAACCUUGACACCUCAAUGCAAAAUGUGCCUUUUCUCAACCUGGCACCCUUUCUUGGUCACAACAUUGCCUCUUGGCCCUGGAAGCUUCCUAGCUAGGCAGUGCCUAGUUAGGUAAACCAGCAGGUGCUAGAGGAGAGCUUAGGUCUGGGAAAUGCCCACUGUAAUUACUUGGGACUGUGUUACUUGAAAGUUGCCUUCAGCAUAUAUCUGCAGAAUGAUUGUUUCCUUCCAGGAAGAGGCUUCAGAAGCAGAGAUUCUGUUACUGGCAUUUUUAAGAUUUAUAUAGGUUUCUAUGGUCCUGUCCUGAGUGGGUAGUCUCACAGAGCCAAGACUCUCUUUUUAAAAAUGCUGCAGGUACAAAUCCUAGGUUUUCAUUCUUAGCACCAGAAUGCCGUCCCUAGAAACAGAUUUAUGUAUUUGUAGAAAUUCACUUAGUGAUAAAGGUACCACUUAAAUCACUUGGAAAAGAAGGGACCAUUCAACAAGUGUC